rnacentral:piRNA from 1 species
UAGAAAAUUGUGUGUCUAUAUAGUUUCCU